UUGGGCUUUAUUUCAGAUGGUUUGUCUGGUUCAUAAGCCCGUGCGUGUAACCCUAAUCUGAUAGCGCGAGACAUGUGUGUUCUUCUCUCCUCUGCGUUCGACGGUGACAGUAACGCCUGAGCUUUCUUCACAAUUUCUGAAACGGUGUGCGUGAAUGUUGGAGUGAAAGCUCAUGGGCUAGCGAAGAAGAUUGGUUUCUUCCCGGCAGUUAGGGAGGAGACGGUGACUGUUUUAAGACCACCGUAGUGGGAUCGAGCUAGGAGAGAGUGGAGUCAGGGAGUUUGAGAUGGUGGUUGAGAAGGAUCUGGUGGUUGAGGGAGAGAUUAGGAGAGAGGCCAUGUUUGUGGAGGUUGGGAAGAGGAAUGGCUAGACAGAAUAUGGUGUUACAUUAUCCCGGUGUAGCUGAGCAGUCGUGUCUUAUCCUUUGGUCUCCACAUACCGGCGAAAGAAAUCUGGAGACGUUAAGAAAGUGUGUUGAGUCCAAACGUCGUCUAUAACACCACCAUUAACAACAACUUCCCAGUCCUCUCAUGAUCUCUCAUUCAAUGCCUCUCCCAUAUACUUGGAUAGAGUGAAACUGCAAGUAUAAACAUAUGUAUGAGGAGACCAUUGUGACAAAGCUUCUGCAUUUUUGAGAAGCACAUAAUGUGAAUAAGGGUGGUGAUCUCAUGGCUGUUUAUAUUGCUUUGGUGGAUGAGAAGUUACAACAUGCAUGUCAACUCUAGGACAAGAGAAACAAGAGCACAUGUCACUCCUUCUUGGCAGGUUCUUUGAAUCAUUGCCACUUCUUAAGAUUUCUCACGCACACAUCAGGUGGCAGGUGGAAGAAGGCAUAAAGCCAACUACAGCUCUGUGAACGGUGAAGAACUUGAAAUGUUAUCUGUGUUUCUCUUUUUUUUUUUGUUUUUUUUUGGGAAAGGGCAUUAGUAUCUGUGUUUCGCCUUUGGUGUUUAUGUCUUACGACUCUUAUCUAAUGACAAGUGUACGUAAUCUUAAUUGCUCUGUUGACAUAUACAUUCGUCUGAAUUCAUUCAUUCUUAUAUAUUGUUACGAGUUCAUUUA